GAACGCGGCGAACCUAUGGAAGUUCGUACGGUGAUACUGCUUGUGUUACAGCUGCUGUUACUAGGACAAAGUGUUGUUGACGCGCAAAUCGGAUGUCAAUCGGAUGACGACGUCGAUUGUGACGGGAAGGAAGGUGACGAGUUCAGCAAUGGUUACGAGAACUUUCUGCCGGUGGAAUCGGGUGACCCGUACCGCAUCCGGCUGCGCAAGUUUGACUACCUGAUCGGCGUCAAUCCGGAGUGUAUACUGGGCAGCGCCAACAACUAUCUGCCCUGGCUGUUUCCGAAUGGUUCGUUGACCAUCAGGAGCAGCUCGCAAGCGUUGGAUGUAUCGAAUCUGAAGCUGAACGACAACGCAAUGGAAUCUGUAGUGGAAAAGCUGGAAACGAUGCUGAACUUCAGUGACAUCCGAUAUUUAUCGCUAGCAAACAACCGACUCACUGAACUGCCAGCGGAUAGUUUGCUGCUUUUCCCCAAUCUGGAGCACCUCUCCUUGAUGUUCAACCCCUUGAAGGAAUUCACUGCGGAAUCGAACAACCGUCCGAAAAUACCCAACCUUCAAUCCCUGGUAACGCUGGACAUGCGCUACUGCGGGUUGGGAGUGCUUCCGGCGGACUUUUUCCACGACGUCCCGAAGCUGCAGUUUCUCUUUCUUUCGCACAACUACAUCACAAAGCUUCCGGCGCCGCUGUUCAACCGACUGAACAAGCUGGUACAUCUGGACCUGUCCUACAUGGACAGCUCGCUGCGGGAGGAGGAGGCACGGAUGGAGAAUCCCUUUAUGAAGCUGAUCACGGGGAUGGACAUGGACUCGAACGUGUUUCAACCGUUGAACAAGCUGCGGUUUUUGGAUUUGUCCCACAGCAAGUUGGACUUGAAGGCGUUCAUAGCGUUGAGUUCGCUCGGGGCUAAGCUGGAGUACGUCAGCUAUUGCUACACGGAUCUGCCAACGCUGAUGGACUACCUGUUCCAGAUGGAGAGCAUCAAGAUGUUGGACCUUUCGGGGAAUUUGGGAUGCGGACGGGCUUUGAAUGAGCUGAGUUUCUCGCUGUUGCGGAACAGUUUGGAGGUGUUGUACUUUAAGAAUGCGAGCAUUUUCAACUUGAAGUGGAUGUCUGGACUGAGGAAUCUUCGGGUGCUGAACUUGAGGGGAAACUUUUUGUCAACACUGGAGUAUGGUCCGUUUAAUGAGCUCGUUAGCUUGGAAGCGCUGGAUGUAAGCAAUAACUUUAUUCAGUCGUGGAGUUGUCAGCUGUUUGCAAACAAUACCAAGAUGUACUUGUUGAACGCACGACACAAUAAUCUUCUGCUAAUCACCACCUCUAUGCUAAGAGAUUUUGAGCCCCUCAAGUAUCUCGCAGUUGGAGUGAAUACGAUACAGUGCACCUGCAACUACGUGUACUUCCUUCAGAUGAUCAUGGGGAACAGCUCGGCCGUGACUCCCCAAACGGAACUCAACUCGGAGCGUUCCGCGACCGAGACGAUAUUUUCAAUUGAACACCUUAAGCUGUACGAUUUCGAUGAAGCCGAGUACUAUUGCAUGAACUUCACCGGCAAGAGAAGAGUGAACGCGAUCGAGUUGCAAAUCUGCAGCCGCGAGGACGAAGGAGGUUACAACAACAUUUCUGAACCAGCUAGCGAGGAACCUCUCGAGGAUGACGUCGAAGAAUACCUCGUGAUCUAUGUAAUAUCUAGCUUGUUGGUGAUAUUAGCUUUGCUGUCCCUGUUGGGCAUCUACUGGUACUGGUUCUACAUCAAGUACUUCUUCGUAAUUCUGAAAAACUCGGCGAUUCUCAGCUUCUUCAACGACGAUAAGCUGUACCUGGACAAAAGUGCCCUCGUGGAGGAGGCGCCCUUCAACUACGACGUGUUUGUAAGCUACAGUGAUAACGAUCGCUCCUGGGUUCUCGAGGAAAUGCUUCCGAACCUGGAGCGCGAGGACCUGCUGACGGUUUGCCUCCACGAGCGGGACUUUGAGAUCUUUGGCAGGUUGGCUACGGGAUACUGGAAAACAUCAUUUCCUGCAUGGAUCGCUCGCGCUGCCUGAUGUUGAUCGUGUCGGAGAGCUUUCUGAUGAGUCGGUGGUGUCAGUUCGAGAUGCAUCUGGCGCAGCAUCGGUUAUUGGAGACCCGCCGAGACGAGCUGAUACUGGUGCUGCUGGAGGACAUCCCGCGACGAAAGUG
rnacentral:misc_RNA from 1 species